rnacentral:rRNA from 1 species
CAUGCAAGUCGAACGAGCGAGAGAGAGCUUGCUUUCUCGAGCGAGUGGCGAACGGGUGAGUAACGCGUGAGGAACCUGCCUCAAAGAGGGGGACAACAGUUGGAAACGACUGCUAAUACCGCAUAAGCCCACGGCUCGGCAUCGAGCAGAGGGAAAAGGAGCAAUCCGCUUUGAGAUGGCCUCGCGUCCGAUUAGCUAGUUGGUGAGGUAAUGGCCCACCAAGGCGACGAUCGGUAGCCGGACUGAGAGGUUGAACGGCCACAUUGGGACUGAGACACGGCCCAGACUCCUACGGGAGGCAGCAGUGGGGAAUAUUGCACAAUGGGGGAAACCCUGAUGCAGCGACGCCGCGUGGAGGAAGAAGGUCUUCGGAUUGUAAACUCCUGUUGUUGAGGAAGAUAAUGACGGUACUCAACAAGGAAGUGACGGCUAACUACGUGCCAGCAGCCGCGGUAAAACGUAGGUCACAAGCGUUGUCCGGAAUUACUGGGUGUAAAGGGAGCGCAGGCGGGAAGACAAGUUGGAAGUGAAAUCUAUGGGCUCAACCCAUAAACUGCUUUCAAAACUGUUUUUCUUGAGUAGUGCAGAGGUAGGCGGAAUUCCCGGUGUAGCGGUGGAAUGCGUAGAUAUCGGGAGGAACACCAGUGGCGAAGGCGGCCUACUGGGCACCAACUGACGCUGAGGCUCGAAAGUGUGGGUAGCAAACAGGAUUAGAUACCCUGGUAGUCCACACCGUAAACGAUGAUUACUAGGUGUUGGAGGAUUGACCCCUUCAGUGCCGCAGUUAACACAAUAAGUAAUCCACCUGGGGAGUACGACCGCAAGGUUGAAACUCAAAGGAAUUGACGGGGGCCCGCACAAGCAGUGGAGUAUGUGGUUUAAUUCG